UUAUUGGAGAGUUUGAUCCUGGCUCAGGAUGAACGCUGGUGGCGUGCCUAAUACAUGCAAGUCGAGCGAAUGGAUUAAGAGCUUGCUCUUAUGAA
rnacentral:rRNA from 1 species